rnacentral:rRNA from 1 species
CCUACGGGAGGCAGCAGCCGGGAAUAUUUCGCAAUGGGCGAAAGCCUGACGCAGCAACGCCGCGUGAGGGAAGAAGGUUUUCGGAUCGUAAACCCCUUUUCUCUGGGAACAUUAUGACUUGGCCCGGGGAAUAAGUAUCGGCUAACUACGUGCCAAGAACCGCGGUAAGACUCCGUGCGCGAGCGUUAUCCGGAAUUAUUGGUGCGUAAAGGGCGUGUAUUUAUUGCUUCAAGUCUUUGGUGAAAUCUCCCAGCUCAACUGAUAGGGUGUCCCAGGGCUGGACGGCUUGAGGGCUUUGAAAGGGGGUGGAAUUCCGGGAGGCGGGGAGAUCUGAAUUCAUCUCGGGAGGAACA